UAUCAACAUAUACAUUUGCUAUGGACUAAAAUAUUUCACUGAAUUGGAUAGUAGUCUGGACCCUUUCCAGUGUAACUACACCGUUUUUUUUGGAAUGUAAUGGAUUUUUGGACAAACUAAAGGCAUUAUAGAUCUUUUGUGGUGGAGCAGGUGACAGCGGCAUUUGUGAAGAAAGGAAAACCUGAAAUCAAAAUAUAAAGAUCUGAAUGUCUGCAGACUGCUGUGUGCACUGAGGAUGGAGAAGUCCACAGCAUCUUUCUGGAAAUGGUCCAGUGUCAUGGGUGAGACUCUCCAUCACUGCAUCUGCCCUUGUUUUCUCAUCAGGACUGGA